AACGCACAUUGCGCCCGCCAGUAUUCUGGCGGGCAUGCCUGUUCGAGCGUCAUUUCAACCAUCAAGCCCCAGGCUUGUGUUGGGGCCCUGCGGAGACGCAGACCCCUAAAAGCAGUGGCGGGCUCGCUGUCAUCCCGAGCGCAGUAUUGUAUCUUCGCUUUGGGCGUGGCGGCGGGUUCCGGCCGUGAAACCACCUAUUUUCUCAAGGUUGACCUCGGAUCAGGUAGGAAUACCCGCUGAACUUAA
rnacentral:misc_RNA from 1 species